rnacentral:siRNA from 1 species
AAUCCCUUGUAAAUCAUUCAAUGC